CCGAGCCCGGCCCGGGAGCCCGAGCAGCCCGUGUGCGUGGUAGCUAGGCCCCCCUUCACGCUGGACCCCCACAGUCUCCGGGCCGCCUGACCUCCGCACGGGUAUAUGGGAUGGAAGCGGGACCCUCGGGAGCAGCUGCGGGCACCUACCUGCCCCCCCUGCAGCAGGUGUUCCAGGCACCUCGAAGGCCUGGCAUUGGUACUGUGGGGAAACCAAUCAAGCUUCUGGCCAAUUACUUUGAGGUGGACAUUCCUAAAAUCGACGUUUACCACUACGAGGUGGACAUCAAGCCGGAUAAGUGUCCCCGCAGAGUCAAUCGGGAAGUGGUGGAAUACAUGGUCCAGCAUUUCAAGCCUCAGAUCUUUGGUGACCGCAAGCCUGUGUAUGAUGGCAAGAAGAACAUUUACACUGUCACUGCACUGCCCAUUGGCAAUGAACGGGUUGACUUUGAGGUGACCAUCCCUGGGGAAGGGAAAGAUCGAAUUUUUAAGGUGUCUAUCAAGUGGCUAGCCAUUGUGAGCUGGCGUAUGUUGCAUGAAGCUUUGGUCAGUGGACAGAUCCCCGUGCCCUUGGAGUCUGUGCAAGCCUUGGAUGUGGCCAUGAGACACCUGGCAUCAAUGAGGUACACCCCCGUGGGCCGCUCCUUCUUCUCACCGCCUGAGGGCUACUACCACCCGCUGGGGGGUGGGCGCGAGGUCUGGUUCGGCUUUCACCAGUCUGUGCGCCCUGCCAUGUGGAAGAUGAUGCUCAACAUCGAUGUCUCAGCCACUGCCUUCUACAAGGCACAGCCAGUGAUUGAGUUCAUGUGUGAGGUGCUAGACAUCAGGAACAUAGAUGAACAACCCAAGCCCCUCACGGACUCCCAGCGUGUUCGCUUUACCAAGGAGAUCAAGGGUCUGAAGGUGGAAGUGACCCACUGUGGACAGAUGAAGAGGAAAUACCGUGUGUGUAAUGUCACCCGCCGCCCUGCUAGCCAUCAGACGUUUCCCUUGCAGCUGGAGAGUGGACAGACUGUGGAAUGCACAGUGGCACAGUAUUUCAAGCAGAAAUACAACCUUCAGCUCAAGUAUCCCCAUUUGCCCUGCCUCCAAGUUGGCCAAGAACAAAAACAUACCUAUCUUCCCCUUGAGGUCUGUAACAUUGUGGCUGGGCAGCGCUGCAUUAAGAAGCUGACUGACAACCAGACUUCGACCAUGAUAAAGGCUACAGCUAGGUCGGCCCCAGACAGACAGGAGGAGAUCAGUCGUCUGAUGAAGAAUGCCAGCUACAACCUCGACCCCUACAUUCAGGAAUUCGGGAUCAAGGUGAAGGACGACAUGACGGAGGUGACAGGACGCGUGCUGCCGGCGCCCAUCCUGCAGUACGGCGGCCGGAACCGGGCCAUUGCUACACCCAACCAAGGUGUCUGGGACAUGCGGGGGAAGCAGUUCUACAAUGGGAUUGAGAUCAAAGUCUGGGCCAUCGCCUGCUUUGCACCCCAAAAACAAUGUCGAGAAGAGGUGCUCAAGAACUUCACAGACCAGCUGCGGAAGAUUUCCAAGGAUGCAGGAAUGCCCAUCCAGGGUCAGCCUUGCUUCUGCAAGUACGCGCAGGGGGCAGACAGCGUGGAGCCCAUGUUCCGGCAUCUGAAGAAUACCUACUCAGGGCUGCAGCUCAUUAUCGUCAUCCUGCCAGGGAAGACGCCCGUGUAUGCUGAAGUGAAACGUGUUGGAGAUACACUCUUGGGAAUGGCAACGCAGUGUGUGCAGGUGAAGAACGUGGUCAAGACCUCUCCUCAGACUCUGUCCAACCUCUGCCUCAAGAUCAAUGUCAAACUUGGUGGCAUUAACAACAUCCUAGUCCCACACCAGCGCUCUGCUGUCUUUCAACAGCCAGUGAUAUUCCUGGGAGCAGAUGUCACACAUCCCCCAGCAGGGGAUGGGAAAAAGCCGUCUAUCACAGCAGUGGUAGGCAGUAUGGAUGCCCACCCCAGCCGAUACUGCGCUACUGUGCGGGUACAGCGACCACGGCAGGAGAUCAUCGAAGACUUGUCCUAUAUGGUGCGUGAACUGCUCAUCCAAUUCUACAAGUCCACCCGCUUCAAACCUACUCGCAUCAUCUUUUACCGAGACGGAGUCCCCGAAGGCCAGCUUCCUCAGAUCCUCCACUAUGAGCUGCUUGCCAUUCGUGACGCCUGCAUCAAGCUGGAAAAGGACUAUCAACCUGGGAUCACUUACAUUGUGGUGCAGAAACGCCAUCACACCCGCCUUUUCUGUGCUGACAAGAACGAGCGAAUUGGGAAGAGUGGUAACAUCCCAGCUGGGACCACUGUGGACACCAACAUCACCCACCCAUUUGAGUUCGACUUCUAUCUGUGCAGUCACGCAGGCAUACAGGGCACCAGCCGGCCAUCCCAUUACUACGUUCUGUGGGAUGAUAACCGUUUCACUGCGGACGAGCUCCAGAUCUUGACAUACCAGCUGUGCCACACUUACGUACGAUGCACACGUUCUGUCUCUAUCCCAGCACCUGCCUACUAUGCCCGCUUGGUGGCUUUCCGAGCACGAUACCACCUGGUUGACAAGGAACAUGACAGUGGAGAGGGGAGCCACAUAUCCGGGCAGAGCAAUGGGCGGGACCCUCAGGCCCUGGCCAAAGCUGUGCAGGUUCACCAGGACACUCUGCGCACCAUGUACUUCGCUUGAAGGCAGAACGCUGUGACCUCACUGGAUAGAAGAAAGCUUUCCAAGCCCCCCACCCUGGAGCUGUGCCGCCCAAAUCCACAGGAAGCAAGGAAGAGGGAGGCGGGGAAGGGAGCAGUGGAGGAGGCCUUGUUUCUUUCUACCGACGGGGUGUAAGGGUGGGGAACAGGGCCAGCAAGACAGACCACCAGCCAGAAAUCUCUUACACCAACCUCAUGUCCUCCGACCCUCACCCAUCUUGUCAUAUCUGGCCCUGGCCCCUCUGGACUAAGAGGGGCAGCACUGGUGCCCACCAUACACACAGGUGUCUCAUGUGACUCACAGUGCUAAAGACUCAUGCUUGACAGCUUGGUCAGGUCAGCUCUGCAGCCCUGCGGACAAAAGCUGGGGCCCUUGUACGACACUCGGCCUAGAUUUCCUAUGCAAAACAACCUAUCCCGGGUGCAGUACAGGCUGCCUACAUCGUCCAGUAACUUCACAAGACUAGCACAACAUUCAUCAUGGAGAAAGUAACAGGACUCUGGAGUCACUCCUCCUGUACUAUUUUUUUUUUUUUCUUUUUUUUUCUGCUGGCUACAGUAGGGAGUGCCCCAUGGGCACAGACCCAGCUGAAGAACAGAAUGGAGGCCCUGGGAGGAGGCAGCUCACUGAGGAGCCUACAUUCCUUACACAAGUGCCUAAAGAGAGUGACGCCAACACUCCAUCCCUGUCCAUCGCCUUCAUAGACAGUCUGCUUCAUGUUCUGUCACCCUUUGGGGAGGGAGCUCUCCCAGGACAGUGGGCUCUGCAUGUUCUCAACUUGGGUACAUUUGGGGGCUUGGAUUAGGGCACUAUUCCUGGAGGGUCCAGUCAUUCACCAGCAUUUGCAAAUGCCCAUAGGGAGCAGGUAGUUGUCACAACUCCUAGCAACAAGUUUUGUGUUUUCUUUCUUUUCUUUUCCUUCCUUCCUUCUUUCUUUCCUUUCUUUUCUUCCUCUCUUUCUUUCUUUCUUUCUUUCUUUCUUUCUUUCUUUCUUUCUUUCUUUCUUUCUUUCUUUCUUUCUUUCUUUCUUUCUUCUUUUUUCUCUGUGUGUCAUUCUCCCCAGUGGGUUUCAAUACAGAACUUAAAAGGCAUCUUAGUCCUUUGGCAUCGUAGUGCCAUUCAAGGAAUAAAAGCAAGAGAUGGCCAGGCAUGGUGGUGCACAUCUCUGAUCCCAGCCCCUGGGAGUUUGAGGCAAGAGAAUCACACAUUCAAGGUCAGCUUGGGCUAUAUAUUGAAUUCUAGGCCUGAGCUAUGUAGUAAGACCUUAUCUCAGGAAAAACAAAACAGAGAAAAGAAAAGGCAAGAGAAACAGCUUGGAUGAUGAUAAAAUAACUUCUUGCCGUGAUCUCUCUCUUUCUCUCUCUUUUUCCAAUUCUUUGAAAAAUACUCCUGACUAUGUGGGUUCUUGUUUGAAUUGAGAAGUGAUACUGACAGUAAGCUUGAGCUUGCUUGGAUGUGGGUAAAGUGGUGCUUCAUACCAUGAUGUUCCAAGGAAGCACUGGGGGGAUUCCAACCCCAUCUGCCAAGGUUUCCUGCUCCCCUCACUGUUUUGCCUUCCUUUUCCCUGGCUUCCUUUUCCUUUUUCUAUUCACUCAGCUUGCUUGCUGGCCUGCCUGCCUCCUGCCUGCGUGAUGAUGAAUUCUCUGCAUGGCUGCAAUGAUCCUUAUUGUUAAUUGGCAAGGUCAGGCUUAGCUCUGACUGCAGAAGACCCAGAACCUUGUUCCUUAUGCCCAGUGGUGCUAAGACCAGGGUUCACUGUUCUCAAGCAUAGCUAGGGCAGGGCAGCAAGCCUGUCUAACUGGCAGUAAGUCGGAGAUUUCUGGCAGCUUUCACACCUACUCAUUCCUUGGAGCUGUUUUCUCUCAUAGAUUUUUUUUUUUUUUUUCCUUAGCUUUGCUUCCUUUGCUCUCUCCCUGCAGCCUCUCUUUGCUGAGGAUAUCCUGAGGGUAAACUACUCAGGUGUUGACAGCUAGAGGGUUAGAGAAUAAGUAUAGAGAAAGAAGAGAAUAAGAAAAUGGAGAGGGUUGGGUAAAAGGUGGGUGAGGAGAACCCCACUCUUUGUUUAUCCAGUCAAGCAUGACCCAUUGCUUCAGGUGCUAAAGCUGCCCUCUUGGGAUAAGCCUGGAGCUGUUGUUGCUGGGAAUUUAUGCUUAGACUUGGGCUGAAGACAAAGGUACCUAAAAGUAUAAACCCACUCUAAAAAACCUUCCAGUUCUCACCUGCUAGCUAACCGCUCUUCUGUAACUUCCUCUUUGGCUCAGCAACCUCCCCCCACUUUUUUUUGAAUAGUUUUCUUUUUCCAACCAGAAUUAUGUGAAUAAUGCCAGGUCCCAUGAUGGGCACCAUUUUCUUAGCUGGCCCAUGGGAUGUCCGCAAGACUGACAGGACAGUGUUGUAGACCUUGCUUCAUACCUAACAAAUGGAUGGAUGGAUGUUCCUUCCCUUUCAGGGUAUGAAAAGUCAUCUCAAACUAGCCAAAAGGCAGUUUUGGAAACUGCUGGGGAAAGAUAUUUUUAUUUAUUUAGUGGGCUUAGGCCAAUCUAGUAUGGUAGCUAAGAUGCCUUCCUUGGGCAGGGAUCAUGGCAGGGACUUGAAGGGCACUCUUUCCUACUUAGCCUUUUAAGCAGACUGAGAAAGAGGGAUUUUUCUGGUUUUCUCUUUCUUACUUACUAGGACUUGGCUUCUCCCUGGGCCGGGAGAGAGGCUGGGUUGGUGCUUUCCCCUACUCUGUUCCUACUGACCUAGAACCUCUGGCUGCUGCUCAGUAGCCCAGGAAGGGAAUGGAAAGAAUGGGCUCCAAACAGAACAGAAUGAUGCAGGCCAGGCAGAUUUCCUUCUUAACAAGGGAAAUGGGAAACUCUCCAAGAAUUGUACAAGUGAAGACCGUGUGUCUGAAUGCACCGAGUCCUCUGGUGCAGUAGCAAUAAGGAAAAAUGAAACGGUUUUCCUGCGCACACAGUCCAGCCUGAUUGGUGUGUGAUGUCGCAUUUAGCAGCCAUGUGGUGGGCAUGUGUGACUACUCCGGGUUUCACUUUAUUUUCUAAACUUUUUAAUCCCUCUCAAGUCCAGCAUGGAUGGGGAAAUGUCCGUGAAGCCCCACAGCUGUGUACUUGUUUGCAUUUGUUUCCCUUUGAGACUUGUGUUUGUGUCCUGCUAUGAGCUGUACCUCGUCCAGUCCAUUGUGAAGUUAUCCCAGCAGCUGUAAUGUACAGUUCCUUCUGAAGCAAGCAACAGCAGCAGCACAAUUCUGUGUUUUAUAAAGACAACAGUGGCUUUUAUUUCUAAA